rnacentral:sRNA from 1 species
UCGAACAACUUGCCCACGUGCGACAGCAAC